ACCUUGAGAGGCUAGAUAUCUUAACAGCUUAAAAAAAGGGAGCUCUACUUGCAGAAAAGUCCCUGGAUGUUUGCAGUCUGACGUGAGGAAAACAAUCAGAUGUGUGAAAUCACAGCAGCAGUGUAGCAGCCAUGAUGCAGGGAAUGAGUGCAUCGCUGACUCAGCAGUAUUUAUUGCCCAUCCAGGUCUGGAGUCACAUGUAGGCCAGACCAGGUAAAAAAACAAACAAAACUGGAGUGCAUAAAUCCAGCAAGAAGAAAUCAUCUGAUACUUGUCAGACCAAACCACCUGAAAAUAUACUAAGAAGAUGGCCUAGACUCUGACUUUUUCUUAUGUUAAAGGUAAGUGUAAGGUAUUGCAUUCCAAAUGCAAUUUGAUUGGUCAAACUACUCGACUGUAAGCAAAACACACCUUGUCUUGAUACUGCAGUUAAAUACUAACAAAAUAAAAAUAAAAGAUUUGACUUAACUGUAACUAUAAAAAUGCUUAACAAAAUGUAUGUAAAGUACUACUGACUAACUGUCCCAAUACACCCUUA